GUUCUCGUGCUCGCUCCAGCAGGACAUAGAAUAAAACUGGAAUGAUAGAAGAUUAGCACGGCCCCUACACAAGGAUGACACACAAAUUCAUGAAGUGUUCCAUAUUAAA
ensembl:snRNA U6 U6 spliceosomal RNA